GGGCGCAUGGUUUAGUGGUAUAACACUCCCUUAGCAUUGGUUUAAACGGGCCAGCGCACCUGGGAGAGGUCUAGGGUUCGAUUCCCUAUGUGUCCA